rnacentral:rRNA from 1 species
GCUGGAUGAUAGCCGGGCUGAAGACUCUACUUGACUAGCUGAGAGGAGGUGCAUGGCCGUCGUCAGUUCGUACUGUGAAGCAUCCUGUUAAGUCAGGCAACGAGCGAGACCCACGCCAACAGUUGCCAGCUCGUCCUCCGGGAUGGUGGGGACACUGUUGGGACCGCCUCUGCUAAAGAGGAGGAAGGAAUGGGCAACGGUAGGUCAGCAUGCCCCGAAUUAUCUGGGCUACACGCGGGCUACAAUGGGUGGGACAAUGGGUAUCGACACCGAAAGGUGAGGCAAUCUCCUAAACCCAUCCGUAGUUCGGAUUGUGGGCUGCAACUCGCCCACAUGAAGCUGGAAUCUGUAGUAAUCGUGUCUCAAAAUGGCACGGUGAAUAUGUCCCUGCUCCUU